CAAAAUCUAACCUAGUGAACAAAAUCUAACUAGCGAACAAAAUCUAACCUAGUGAACAAAAUCUAACUAGCGAACAAAAUCUAACCUAGUGAACAAAAUCUAACUAGCGAGUAACAUUUAACUAGAAAACAAAAUCUAACUAUCAAGCAAAAUCUAGCUAGCAAACAAAAUCUAACAAGCAAAAGCUAGUCUAACGAGCAAAAUCUGACUAGCAAACAAAAUCUAACAAGUAAACAAGAUCUGACUAGCAAGAAAAACGAACUAGCAAGCAAAAUCUAGCUAGCAAACAAAAUCUAACUAGUGAACAUAAUCUAACUAGUGAUCAAAAGGUAACUAGCAAGCAAAAUAUAACUAACGCGCGAUAGCUAGUCUAGCAAACAAAAUCUAACUAGUGAACGUAAUCUAACUAUCAAGCAAAAUCUAGCUAGCAAACAAAAUCUAACAAGCAAAAGCUAGUCUAACGAGCAAAAUCUAACUAGCAAACAAAAUCUAACCUAGUGAACAAAAUCUAACUAGCGAGCAACAUUUAACUAGUGAACAAAAUCUAACUAUCAAGCAAAAUCUAGCUAGCAAACAAAAUCUAACAAGCAAAAGCUAGUCUAACGAGCAAAAUCUGACUAGCAAACAAAAUCUAACUAACGAUCAAAAGGUAACUAGCAAGCAAAAUAUAACUAACGCGCGAUAGCUAGUCUAGCAAACAAAAUCUAACUAGUGAACGUAAUCUAACUAGCAAGCAAAAUCUAACUAGCGAACAAAAUCUAACGAGCAAAAGCUAAUCCAGCAAACAAAAUCUAACUAGCGAGCGAAUUUUAACCUAUUGCGCAAAAAUAUAAAUGGCUCUAACCUACUGAGCAAAAGUUAAUGAGCAAAUUGGUACGUGUUGUAAAACCCUCUCAGACCUGUCAAUCAAAUGUGCUUACAAUAUUAGGCCACGCCCACUAGGUUCAGGUUCAGCUGGAGUUUGAGCAGCAUUUUAUCAGACUCCUAUCCUGUUUUUCUUCCUUCAAACUUUACUGGAAUUGAACGCAGCACUUGCGCGUGCUAUGGCACAAACAUGCAGACAUUUUAAAGCAUUCCCCGAGAGCUCGCUUUUGUUUAUUUAUUGAUUUUAUUUACAGACUCUCUCCUUAACCCUUAUCAAGUGCAGCUCUAUUUAAGCUCCUUUAUCUACAAACCCACCGCUUUUGAACACACCUUUGGCGUACACACAAAGCACAGGAAAUGCUAAUAUGGCCAGAACAGGAAGCCAAAAGCACUUUUCCAAUUACGGAAAUGCAGGCAGACACUGAGGAAAAGCUAAGAGGGAGAAUGGAGUAAGAAAUCUCAGUCAUGCAUUAGUACUAGGCGUGUAAUGGCAUCCGCACGCUGCCAGCUAAUGUCACGCAGGAUGGAGUGGCUGCACAAUAGCCGGCUCCAUUAGGAGGAAGAGCUUUCUGCUCCUUCGCUGUGUGCGUUCGCGCGCUCGGGUUGCUGAAACGAAGCGUCUGUACACGCACGAAGGCGACGUGGCGUGUUAGCGUGGCACAGCGGGGCGCUAAUCAUCACUGUCACAAUUACACACAGCCUCAACUCACACGACCUUCAGUUUAAGGACAGCAAAGUCGUCUGUUUCUGUGUGCUCUUUCUGUCUCCCUCUCUGUUUUUAAUGCUCGCGCUCAGGACUGAGACUGGGAGAGGAACGUCUCCUCCAUCUGUCUCUCUGUCUGUCUCUCUCACACUCUCUCUCUCUCUCAGGAUAAGACACACUUGUGAUGGUGGAAGGGCAAAUCUGUCUGAAGGGUUUAUUCAUUCAGAACAGUAAUGACAUUUUGGAGGUUGGUGAAGAGACGGAGUGAAAAAAAGCAGAGAGAGAGAGAGAGAGAGAGAGAGAGAGAGAGAGAGGGGCAGAAGAACAGAAAGACAGAACGUAAAAGUGAAAGACAGUGAAAGAGAUAGACACAGACAGAGAGAUAAAGAGAGGAAUGAUGGUGAGACAGAAAGUGAGAGAGACAGACAGGGAAGAUGAGAGAAAGACAGAAUGAUGGUGAGACAGAAAGAGUGAGAGACAGAGUGAGAGAGACAGACAGGUAGAUAAAGAGAUACAUAAUGAUGGAGAGACAGUCAGAGAGAGAGAGAGACAAAGAGUGAGAGACAGACAGAGG
ensembl:lncRNA